GCGCGAGUGGCGGAACUGGCAGACGCGCAGGAUUUAGGUUCCUGUGUCCUAGGACGUGGGGGUUCAAGUCCCCCCUCGCGCACCA
rnacentral:tRNA from 1 species